CAUGACUGCAUUAACACACUUUUGCAUCUAGAACAUAUAUAUGAACGUGUCUCUUAUCUAUGCACCAGACUUUUCUACUCAAUUGUAAGUUUGAGAGACAUGAAGGUCACCAUUUACCUCAUCAGCAUCUCAAAACCUGAGACAAUUAAUGACCAGGGAAGAGAGACAUUACUCAACACCAUUAUCUCUAGUUGUGCCCAUGUUCCUACACAGGGCUGUGGUGUGUGCAUCCAUUGCAGAAACUUCUUAAUUUUCCGUCUUCUCAUUUCCCAGUUUUGGGAUUGUUUCCUGUGCUCUGGAGUCCUACUUAAAACAUCUCUGCCUAUGGCUUUAUCUUCAAGUGUCUUUCCU
rnacentral:lncRNA from 1 species